AUGGCUGGUGCGGGCGAGGAUGCGGCAAUAGGGCGUGGCCAAGGAGCACGGAUGCAGCUGGGUCGGGCUCAACGGCGCGAUCCACCGGUUCAUGGCCGGCGAGUCGUCCCACCCGACGAGCGCCGAGGUGCGCACAUGGACGCGCUCUGGGAGCGGAUGUGGCGCAAGGGGUACGCGCCCGACACGUCGUGCGUGCUCCACGACGUCGACGAGGCUGAGAAGGCGGCCAUGCUCCGGUACCACGGCGAGAAGCUCGCCAUCGCCUGCGGGCUGCUUCUCCAUCUUUUAUCAUUUGUCUCCGGCGACGCCUACACUCUGCCGAUUACCUUGUGCUGCGGCGCUGUCAAGUUUACUCCCACUAGAUCUUCCUUAGGAUUCCGACGCUAG
rnacentral:rRNA from 1 species